GAGGGUAUAGUUCAGUGGUAGAGCGCUUGUUUAGCAUGCACAAGGUCCUGGGUUCAAUCCCAGUACCUCCA
rnacentral:tRNA from 1 species